rnacentral:rRNA from 1 species
AGGACGAACGCUGGCGGCGUGCUUCACACAUGCAAGUCGAGCGGAAAGGCCCUUCGGGGUACUCGAGCGGCGAACGGGUGAGUAACACGUGAGUAACCUGCCCCUAACACCGGGAUAGCUCCGGGAAACUGGAAUUAAUACCGGAUAUCGACCACGGUCGGAAUCGGCCACGGUGGAAAGGACUCCGGUUAGGAUGGACUCGCGGCCUAUCAGCUAGUUGGUAGGUAAUGGCCUACAAGGCGACGACGGGUAG